CAUUGCUUUUUCCUUCACUGGCUAUUUCUUUUCCUCUCGGUUUCUUGCUGUCACCAAAGACAGUAGAAUUACCGAAACCAAUUCAAAGAGACCUCAUCUGGGCUCUGACAAUGGAAAAAGUUCAUAUUUUUUGAGAGAUUCCUAGCUGAACCAGUGAAAGGUAAACUCAGAAGAGGAAGGAACAUGGGGACGACAAGGGAAGCCAAAAAGAACCAAAGAAGAAGAGAGAAAGUUUAAACCACUUCAUGGAAGUGAGCAAAUUUUAUGCAAGAAACUGGAUGAAUGUAGAUGUUACAGGUGCGGCCGCAAAAUUUGAUCUGAGGAUUGGAUUAUCCCAACUGAAUGUUGACAUUGUGCAUCACAUUCUGUCUUUGCCAACCCUACAAGAGGUAGGUUGAACUAAUAUAUUUGUCCAAAAGGUGGCAGGAUGUGAAAACCUCAUCUCCUGUUUUGGUUUCGAUCAAAGGUUUAAUGAUAGAUACUGGUCGACAAUGCAGGGAAAGGCAGAGACAUUCAUAAACUUUGUGGAUGGAUCUCUUUAAAGUUAUGUGAAAACAGUACUACGAUGCAACGGGUCUGUUUAUUUAUGGCAUACAUUGAUUUUACAUACGACUCUCUUCUAGACCAUUGGAUAUGGUUGGCCAUAGAGAACGAUGUUAGAAAGCUAGGUCGCCACUUCAUAACUAGACAGAAUAGCUUGGGCUACCAUAUACCUAUGUGUAUUUUAGCUGUCAAGUCAUUGAUUGUUUUAAGGUUUGAUGGUUUGGUUGAAGCAUUACUUAUUUGAUGAUACAAUAAAAGUUCAUUCUUUGGUUGAGUCUAGUCAAUGUUGACAUUCCGGUCCACAUCAUCCAAAACUUAUUUGAUGACACAAUAAAGAUUCAUUCUUUGCUCAGUUUAGUGUUAGUCAAUGUUGAUAUUCCGGUGCAUAUCAUCCAAAAUUCAAUUGUAGGCUGCCCUUUCACCGAGGACUUGACACUGGCCUGCUGUCGGGGUGUGCAAAAUCUUCAAAUUUCUAGUCUUGAUUGAGUCAAGAAGCUGGGAGCUACAUGAGUGCAGUUGUGGUGUAGAUAGAUUUGAGAGAAUUGAUUUUGGAGGGCUGACUUUGAAGUUUAUGUUAUUCCGGGCAUAGUAUGGUAUUUGAUAUGAAUGCCAAUCUUCUAAAACAUUAGAAGUUUUAAGUAUAGAUUGCAGCAUUAUGACAGACUAAUUGUUGGAGGUGUUAUAUCUAUAUGUGUGCUCCUUAAAUCAAAGGCACUCGAGGGUUAAGCUGGAAAGCUACAAAAUUUCAAGCCAUUGGCAUCAGAAGUUAAGUUUGUAUAAUUUGUGUAAAGCACAGAAAUGCUGUAAUUGAUGGUCCAUAUAUUUGCUCAUUCAAAAAGGAGAUAGCGUAAUGCCUUUUUUUUAUUUUCAGUGGAUAUGUCGUGUGGAGAAAGCUAUCCAUAAGGAAUUCCCCUAAUAACUCAUCACUUAUCCGUUCCUUGUUCUUUUGGAAUACCUUAGGAUGCAUCAGUCAAGAAACUAUUAUGACUACCAUAAUUUUCAGAGGUCAAGUUUGUCAAGGAAAUGAGGGCUUGUUUGGUAAUGUUUUCAUUUUUAGCUUUUAGCUGGAAAGCUAGUAAGAAAGUAUGAGAGAAGACAUGGAGAAAUGAUGGAAAAGAUGGAGAAAGCAGAUAGAUGUGAAG